rnacentral:rRNA from 1 species
AACGAACGCUGGCGGCAGGCCUAACACAUGCAAGUCGAACGCCCCGCAAGGGGAGUGGCAGACGGGUGAGUAACGCGUGGGAACGUACCCUUCGGUUCGGAAUAACCCGGGGAAACUCGGGCUAAUACCGGAUACGUCCGCAAGGAGAAAGAUUUAUCGCCGAAGGAUCGGCCCGCGUCGGAUUAGCUAGUUGGUGGGGUAAUGGCCCACCAAGGCGACGAUCCGUAGCUGGUCUGAGAGGAUGAUCAGCCACACUGGGACUGAGACACGGCCCAGACUCCUACGGGAGGCAGCAGUGGGGAAUAUUGGACAAUGGGCGAAAGCCUGAUCCAGCCAUGCCGCGUGAGUGAAGAAGGCCUUAGGGUUGUAAA